UACAGAGGCCUCGAGCGUUAGGCGGAAUCACUGGGCUUAAAGCGUGUGUAGGUGGAUGCCUAAGUACCUUGUGAAAUCCCACGGCUUAACUGUGGAACUGCUUGGUAUACUGGGUGUCUUGAGCCACUCAGGGGCUACCGGAACAAACGGUGGAGCGGUGAAAUGCGUAGAUAUCGUUUGGAACGCCAAUGGUGAAAACAGGUAGCUGGGGGUGUGCUGACACUGAGACACGAAAGCCAGGGGAGCAAACGGG
rnacentral:ncRNA from 2 species